UACGUAGGGGGCAAGCGUUGUCCGGAUUUAUUGGGCGUAAAGCGCUCGCAGGUGGUUCGUCGCGUCGUGCGUGAAAGACCCCGGCUCAACUGGGGAGUGUCGUGCGAUACGGGCGGACUGGAGGCCAGUAGGGGGAUGCGGAAUUCCUGGUGUAGCGGUGAAAUGCGUAGAUAUCAGGAGGAACACCUGUGGUGUAGACGGCUUACUGGACCAUGACUGACGCUGAGGCACGAAAGCGUGGGGAGCAAACAGG
rnacentral:rRNA from 1 species